AUACAUGCAAGUCGAGCGAACAGACGAGGAGCUUGCUCCUCUGACGUUAGCGGCGGACGGGUGAGUAACACGUGGAUAACCUACCUAUAAGACUGGGAUAACUUCGGGAAACCGGAGCUAAUACCGGAUAAUAUAUUGAACCGCAUGGUUCAAUAGUGAAAGACGGUUUUGCUGUCACUUAUAGAUGGAUCCGCGCCGCAUUAGCUAGUUGGUAAGGUAACGGCUUACCAAGGCAACGAUGCGUAGCCGACCUGAGAGGGUGAUCGGCCACACUGGAACUGAGACACGGUCCAGACUCCUACGGGAGGCAGCAGUAGGGAAUCUUCCGCAAUGGGCGAAAGCCUGACGGAGCAACGCCGCGUGAGUGAUGAAGGUCUUCGGAUCGUAAAACUCUGUUAUUAGGGAAGAACAAAUGUGUAAGUAACUAUGCACGUCUUGACGGUACCUAAUCAGAA
rnacentral:rRNA from 1 species